AAUAUUGGACAAUGGGGGGAACCGUGAUCCAGCCAUGCCGGGUGUGUGAAGAAGGCCUUUUGGUUGUAAAGCACUUUAAGCGAGGAGGAGGCUCCCUGUAUUAAUACUAUUGGAGAGUGGACGUUACUCGCAGAAUAAGCACCGGCUAACUCUGUGCCAGCAGCCGCGGUAAUACAGAGGGUGCAAGCGUUAAUCGGAUUUACUGGGCGUAAAGCGUGCGUAGGUGGCCAAUUAAGUCAAAUGUGAAAUCCCCGAGCUUAACUUGGGAAUUGCAUUCGAUACUGGUUGGCUAGAGUAUGGGAGAGGAUGGUAGAAUUCCAGGUGUAGCGGUGAAAUGCGUAGAGAUUUGGAGGAAUACCGAUGGCGAAGGCAGCCAUCUGGCCUAAUACUGACACUGAGGUACGAAAGCAUGGGGAGCAAACAGGAUUAGAUACCCUGGUAGUCCAUGCCGUAAACGAUGUCUACUAGCCGUUGGGGUCUUUGAGACUUUAGUGGCGCAGCUAACGCGAUAAGUAGUCCGCCUG
rnacentral:rRNA from 1 species